rnacentral:lncRNA from 1 species
GCUUUGGGAGGUGAGUGAAUCUUUCCCUAUUUGUUCACCACUUUCUCUAUAUAAAAGGGUUUGUGGGGCUUUCAUUUUCCUCACAUCUUUUCCACAUUUCUCCUCCUUUUCUCUAAAAUUUUCUUUCUAAAGGAGGCUUUUCGAUCGCUAGAAUUCUUGAUUUCCAUCGAGUUACCAAUGUAGAUUUGAAGGUAUUUAAGUUUUUUUAAUUUAUUUUGGAUUUUUUCUUUUGGUUUUAGUUUAUCUCUAAACUUGUUCAGAUUUUUGGGUUUCCAAUUUUCGGUCAUUAAUUUUUCAGAUUUUCGACUCCUAGAGGGAUUGAGUUUCGAUUGUCUGAGGUUUUAGGGUUUCAAUCAUUGGAGGGUGUAGAUUUCAGGGAACGUUGCCUUGGUUCUUUAGGUUUUUAGUCAUUUUCGCUGGGGGCUCACUAAUUUUUCAGGUUUUUGAUCUUCUACGGUGGAAUUUGAAUCAAUCUUUUGGGGCAAGUUGUGCUUGUGUUUUUGUGUUUUCAAUCAUGGGGAAGGCUCCUUCAAGUUUUCGGUGUUCUUGACAUUUCGAUAGUUGUUGAUUUUUAGGGAUUUUGGUGCUUAGAUUUUUUAAGUUUUCAAUUUUAUAAGAGUUUUGGGUUUUCGGUCAUUAAUUUUUUAGGAGUAGCAGUGCUCACAUUUUCCCGAGUUUCCCUUCAUUGUUUGUUGGGUUUAUAUGAUGGACCCUUUGGAUGCUCCUACAGCUUAUGUUACUUUGUCUAAUUCAAAUUUGUUAGAAGAGAUUCUAGAAACUUAACAAGAGGAAGGUGAAGUUCCAUUUUCUCCUCAUGCCUCAUCAUCAUCAUUAGGUCAUGUUGGUUCCUUUCUGCCUCGCCCUCCGUGACUGGUGUGGAGUAAGGAUGAGAUUGAAGAGAUAACUAUGGUUUAUAGGAUACCAACAACUUUCAAAGCCUACCCGUGUGGUGGGGACCAAACGAAUCAUGGGUUGGUUUCAAAAAAGAAUUAUGUCAGUGUAUAUGUGGAGCAAUUGAAAGCUAGCUUCACUUUCCACUGGAUCCAUUUGUAGAUGCUAUCCUAAAUCUCUUUCAAGUUAGCAUAGCGUCAAUUCAUCCUAACGGUUGAUGAGUUCUAAUGUCUCUCCUAUCAUUGUAUCGUAUACAUAACAUAGAGCCUUAUGCCCACGUUUUUGCUUCAAUGUAGGCCUUGUCUCACCAAGGAGCUGACACCUUUUACUAUUUUGUACCAAAUAAGGGAAGUAGCUUAUUGAUGGCUUUCCAAGAUCGGUAAAAAAUUGAAAGUCAAAAUCUUUCAUGCUUAGGCAUCCUUCUAAUGCUAGUUGGUGUAGUUUCCUGAUAAUUGGUCCUUUGAACCUCAAUUUUCAAAUGAAUGCUUCAAAUGAUUAAGGUCGAACCAUUGACUUACACGGAGCUCAUGAUUGUUAUUUCAUUAAGGGGGAAACAACCUUACCAACUAUUUGUUCAUGUUGAAAAAAGGGUAAUUUGAUAAAUAUUAUUGGUUUAUCACUAAAGGAGGCUGAUAAUGUUAUACCUCAAAAUGUUUACUUCUUAACUUCUUAUCUAACUUAAUAAUUUCUUUCUUUUUUUGCAAAGAUGGCCAGAGAUAAUGCACCAUGCACCAGGAAGGUAGCUGAAAAGAUGAGGAAAGGAGUUAGUCAAUCCUACUACCAGAAAAGGCUAAGUUCCAUUAGAGGGACUUCAACCCCUUCCGUUAUUGCUCCGCAAACUUCUAAAGAGCAUGUUUCUACCGAGCUUCCUUCUUUUCCUACUAAGACAGGCUUCCUCCAUCGCUUUCUUCCCCUACUUUUGAUUGACUAUUAAGGGAUCAUAAUAUGGUAGCAGAGACCUACUACUUGGUUGAGUGCAUAGCAAAGAAGAUUACUUUGCCAAGCGACCAAUAGUGGUUUGUCAAUGAGAGUGAUGAUGAUGUGUUCUACUAUUGGAUCCUUAGGUUUAGAGUCCGUGACUGCAUUCCAAGUGGGGAACAAGAGGUUUCAAAAAUUUUAGGGAGCCUAUGGUGAACUGCAGACGUAGAACAUCCUUCUUACAAUUGAAUUCAGGAACCUGCAUAACAUUAACAAAAAUCUCGAGGCUGAGAUGAAACAAUUUUAAUAGCAAGUUGGUGGGUUGACAUUUGAGAGGGAUGCUGAACGGACUGAGAAGAUCUCUCUAGGAGCUAAGUUUGAGGAGGUUAAAAGGAAGCUAGAGGCUACUAAUGAUCGUAUAGCUGAUAUGUAUCUGGACUUAUAAGGUUCUAUCAUGAAUGAGCUUCAUCGGUGUGACUUGGAGGAGAUUAUAAUUGAAUUUUAGACAUGAUUCCAAGUGCUUUUGAUCCUACCAAUGAAGGGUCUCAUAGGAGAGAUGAUGAGGAUACCUCCUAGUUCUUAGUAUAUGUGCUUCAUAUUUUAUAUAAUUCGGCCAUGAAGGCCUUGCUCCCCUUUUUAGUUUUUUAUUGUAGUUGUUGUUAUUUAUAGGGCCUUUUGUACUUAUUAUUUGAACUUUUUAAUAUAUGCUAGUUUGGUUUGCAUUUUCGUCUUUGAUGGGUGUUCUAA